rnacentral:rRNA from 1 species
UGGGGAAUUUUGGACAAUGGGCGAAAGCCUGAUCCAGCAAUGCCGCGUGUGUGAAGAAGGCCUUCGGGUUGUAAAGCACUUUUGUCCGGAAAGAAAUGGCUCUGGUUAAUACCUGGGGUCGAUGACGGUACCGGAAGAAUAAGGACCGGCUAACUACGUGCCAGCAGCCGCGGUAAUACGUAGGGUCCAAGCGUUAAUCGGAAUUACUGGGCGUAAAGCGUGCGCAGGCGGUUGUGCAAGACCGAUGUGAAAUCCCCGAGCUUAACUUGGGAAUUGCAUUGGUGACUGCACGGCUAGAGUGUGUCAGAGGGGGGUAGAAUUCCACGUGUAGCAGUGAAAUGCGUAGAGAUGUGGAGGAAUACCGAUGGCGAAGGCAGCCCCCUGGGAUAACACUGACGCUCAUGCACGAAAGCGUGGGGAUCAAACAGG